UACGUAGGGGGCUAGCGUUGUCCGGAAUCAUUGGGCGUAAAGCGCGCGUAGGCGGCCCGGUAAGUCCGCUGUGAAAGUCAAAGGCUCAACCUUUGAAUGUCAGCGGAUACUGCCGGGCUAGAGUCCGGAAGAGGCGAGUGGAAUUCCUGGUGUAGCGGUGGAAUGCGCAGAUAUCAGGAGGAACACCGAUGGCGAAGGCAGCUCGCUGGGACGGUACUGACGCUGAGGCGCGAAAGCGUGGGGAGCGAACGGG
rnacentral:rRNA from 1 species